rnacentral:rRNA from 1 species
AGUGAACGCUGGCGGUAGGCCUAACACAUGCAAGUCGAACGGCAGCACAGUAAGAGCUUGCUCUUACGGGUGGCGAGUGGCGGACGGGUGAGGAAUACAUCGGAAUCUACUUUUUCGUGGGGGAUAACGUAGGGAAACUUACGCUAAUACCGCAUACGACCUACGGGUGAAAGCAGGGGAUCUUCGGACCUUGCGCAAUUGAAUGAGCCGAUGUCGGAUUAGCUAGUUGGCGGGGUAAAGGCACACCAAGGCGACGAUACGUAGCCGGUCUGAGAGGAUGAUCAGCCACACUGGAACUGAGACACGGUCCAGACUCCUACGGGAGGCAGCAGUGGGGAAUAUUGGACAAUGGGCGCAAGCCUGAUCCAGCCAUACCGCGUGAGUGAAGAAGGCCUUCGGGUUGUAAAGCCCUUUUGUUGGGGAAGAAAAGCAGCAGGUUAAUACCCCGCUGUUCUGACGGUACCCAAAGAAUAAGCACCGGCUAACUACGUG